AUGAUAUCGCGGUUAAGCGCCAGCAAGCGACGGAAGUUUCCUCGCCAGGCAGUUUUCAGCAUUUCGCCGGAAAUUCCGCGUAGUUUGAGGAUUUUACGCACCAUUA
rnacentral:misc_RNA from 1 species